GGGGGCCCAGCUGGACCAGCCCCCCAGGAACCAGCUGAGAGACCCGGAGGAGACCACAGACGAUGAGCUGGGGACCAGCAUUGACACCAUGGCCAUCAAGAGGCAGAAGCACGGCAGG